AUUGAACGCUGGCGGCAGGCCUAACACAUGCAAGUCGAACGAGUGGCGGACGGGUGAGUAAUGUCUGGGAAACUGCCCGAUGGAGGGGGAUAACUACUGGAAACGGUAGCUAAUACCGCAUACCAUCAGAUGUUCCCAGAUGGGAUUAGCUGGUUGGUGGGGUAACGGCUCCCCAAGGCGACGAUCCCUAGCUGGUCUGAGAGGAUGACCAGACAAACUGGGACUGAGACACGGCCCAGACUCCGACGGGAGGCAGCAGUGGGGAAUAUUGGACAAUGGGCGAAAGCCUGAUGCAGCCAUGCCGCGUGUGUGAUGAAGGCCUUCGGGUUGUAAAGUACUUUUGGCAGGGAAGCGUUACCUGCAGAAGAAGCACCGGCUAACUACGUGCCAGCAGCCGCGGUAAUUC
rnacentral:rRNA from 1 species